rnacentral:tRNA from 1 species
GUCACGAUGAGAAUAAAAAAUGGCAGUUCGCUGGGAUUGUAUCCCAGAGGUGUUGGUUCGAGUCCAACUCGUGACA